GCUUGCCCGUACGCGGUAUGAACGAAUUGCUGAUUAUAAGGAGCAGCGAGGCGCGUCUACUAUGAUUGAAUUUUUAUAGAAACAUACCAGUACAGUACCCCAUGAAGCACCCUCCCCAUGAAGGCAUGAGGAUGAGGGACACCCUGUUUCGGUGUUUCCCUACGGGGUAAUGCAGCAAUCCAAGAAUAACACUCCAACACGCUCCAGUAGUCAAUUGCUGAUUAGCAAUCGCACAGGCGUCGUUAAACAACGUCAACGUAAUUUACGUUACAACGCAUUGAAGCAGUCUGCCCGCGGCCUAUCUCGCGCGUGUUAUUGUGAUGUUAGAAAAGGUUGAAAUUGAAUCCGAAAAAGGAAACAACUUGCAGCGGCAGGAAUGAUGAUGAAAUACUCUACCCAAGCGCGAAUGUAGUGCAAGUCUCUCUUAUCAAUUUGCAAUGUAUGCAGUUGCAAAAAAAUACGAUUGUCAAAGAAUCACACCUCGGUCGUUUGUGAGUGGUGUAAGUGAUCUGAUUAGGUUUGAGCAUUGCAUCGCUAUUUUUGAUCGAUUACGAACGAUCAAUUACAACGCAUAAUGGUUCUUUGGGUAGUAGUUUGAAGAAGGUUCAAUCUCAUCGGUCCCAUUUAGCGCCGUUGCUAAACGACACUAAUUAGCCGAUAAACACACCAGUCGGUCUCGUGCCCGGGUCCCGCUCGUGUUGGAGGCUCGCCAGCAGCCGUCUCGAUAAUUGGUGGUUUGAGAAAACGUGCCCCAUGCCCCAUCAACCUCCCAUUAGCCUACCGCCGCUCGCACGGGGAUAGCCAAGAUAGGUCAAUAUCUUACUCUACUCAAUCGAACCCCAGCGUGAAUCUCCGUCUUACUCCACACUUGACUGCGCUAAAACACACGCUCUGUCGUAGAACGUGAGCGGCACGUUUCGCUACUGUUACGCCCCGACCAACGUGUAUUCUGGGCAUUGGUCCAGAGAUGGGAAAAUUUCUCCCCCAAAGCUUUAAGCUUCAUGUGCAAGCGAAGAAAAACGUGCAGAAGAGCCAAGUCCCACGAACGAGCAUAAUGAAGCGCCCCCAUGCCAGGCCCGGCGAAUCGGUGCGUGCUGUGGCGAAAAUGAUUAUCAACGCAUCACUCUCCGGUCACCCGUUUGCUGCAUGAUUCGGAGGGGAGCCCCGGGACGGAUAAGACGGACGCUUCCCGCACUCCCGGGUCCAACGUUCAGCGCCGCCGAACGCGCGGGACGUGUGUGGCUGAGUGAAGAAGAUUCUUUGCCAUUUAUCAUUAGCAGCCUGGACAAGCUGGACAAUGUCCUCUGGAGUCAAUUUGACCUCCUUUCCCCUAGUGGUGGUGGAUGUGUACGGUUUAUAUGAGCCCCGGGCAAUAAAACAUUACGACAGCUGA